rnacentral:lncRNA from 1 species
CAGAGCAACAAACCCUGUUCCCAGCUCAUUCAUAGAGACACUCAGAGAUGAUCAUCUAGAUCUAAUGCAUACAAAGUAUGAGUAUUGGUUAUUGUACCUUGGACAACGGUACCCUCGAUAUCCUCUUGCCAUUAUGGGGGACCUGUAUAAAACCUCAAUUGGCUCUUUAACCACCUGCCACCCAACAAUGAAGAUGAUUACCAGACAACUGUUUAAAAGUCUGGAGGAGAUAUUACAAGUGAUUUUUUAGCCUUGCCUGUCAAGAUAGGGAAACUUGAGUUGAAGAUAAUUACAGUUGGAAUCUUUAUCAAGGGGCCAACCUCAAUCUCUUCAAGCAUCGGCGUCUCAACUCUGGAUUCCUUGCGACUAGUACAUCAUGGAAGAGGAGUUUUCGAGACAUCCGUAGUAGAAGUUCAUCAGCAGGCCAACUGGAUGGCGUGUAAACAGUACUUGAAUUGUAUUUGGGCUCUCUUGCUCUAAUAUAAGCAACAAGAAAGUCCUUCAAGUCUCUCCCAUUGUCUUUCCUUUGAUUCGCACACCUAGUCUAGGUGCUUGAUCGCAUCAAGCUCCUCCAAUGUCUUACCUCUAAUGAACACUUGAGGCAAAUAUGCAUUGUAAUGUUCAAAUAAAUUUCAAUGGUCUCCUAUUGACAAACCAAAAAAAUAUUAAGGACACCAAUAAAUAUGCAUGUAUAUGUCCAAAAAACCAACAAAAAUUAAAAACCUACUACAACUUGAUCCUGCCUUUGGCCUUGCAGUUCUGGUAUUGUGACCUUUUCCCCAAGUUGCAAAAGGAUUUUCUUGAUCUACCUUUUUUUUCGUUCUAUGAUAACAUGUUCUUCUCUUUAACUCCAAAUCCUAGAACCAACAUUUAAUCCACAUGUUGGCUCAGAUGACACGUGCACAUGUUCACUUAUAUCUGUAUGUAACACAAUUUGCCAACGAUUGGCCAUCAUAGUGCCAAUACAUACCAUGAAUUCAAUUGUUUGCAGUCAUCAUUGCCCUAGUUAAACCCACAUCCCCUCAUCAUUGCCCCAACAAAUAAAAAAGUAUUUGUAUCAUCAUUGCCCAAAAUAACUUAUAAGUUUUACAUCAUAAUUGUCCCUACAUAUCCAUAAUUCAAAAAACUUGAAUCGUGGGAUAAUACAAAAAGUUGGUCAUUCACAUCCCACAUCGGGGGGGUGGGAUGUCGGAGUAACCCCCCCAUAAUUACAAAAAGUUGGAUUCACUCCAGCAUCCAACCAUAAUUACAAAAGUAAUAUUACCAACCCCAGUAAUUCCAAAAGCGGGGGAUCACACUAGGUCAGACUAUUUACCACUAAUUACCUACGUGGCUAAAACGUGACUUUACCAUCUAAGACCCCCUCUACCCAACGUUGUUUUAUAUGAUCUGGUAUAGCCAAAGAAGCAAUCCAAUCUUUUCUUCUCCAGCCACAAUAGGCUUUAUUUGACUUAAACCCGUCCAUUCCGGCUCAUGUCAAGUUUUCAUUAACUCGCUAAAGACACUCUUUCUUUGUUGGAGAUUCCUUUUCAUACCCUAUCGCAUUGGUCAAUUUUUCCAUAUGGGCAUUAUUUUGGAGUAUGAAACCUUUCACAUCAUUAAGGGCAUCCUAUCUUUGUCCUUCCUUCUUUGGCCUUUUCCGGCACGGGAAUGUUUUGGCAUUGGAGAGAGGGAUUGACAUCGCCUCUUGAGUGGAAGGAUUCGCAUGGCCUCUUGGAGUGGAAGGAUUGCAUUGCCUCUGAGUAGAGGGAUUAACAUACCAUGGGAUCAUUAACCCGUUCGUCCACAAAUAUCCCAUUCGGGACAGUGGCUCACCA